rnacentral:tRNA from 1 species
GCCGGGGUAGCUCAGUGGUAGAGCGUAAGCCUGAAGAGCUUAGCGUCGUUGGUUCGAUUCCGACCCCCGGCACCA